rnacentral:lncRNA from 1 species
GGUGCUGAUACUGAAAUGUGAAAAAGAAAGCCACCUGAGGUCUUAAAUGUUCAAAUAGCAAGAGUGGUGUUGUAGACAUCAGACAUGUAGUGGUGCACCAUAUGUUAAAAUUAAAUAUUGUCCAACUUACAAAAGUAGGGGCCCUGGCCAGAAUUCCUGCCCUGAACUGGAAAGAUAACUUCAUUUUAUCACUGCUAUUAGACUGUGAUAAACAGAGAAUCAUGUAUUGUCAGCAUGGUGUUUUUAAAUACAAUAUGACUGCGUACAGUUAUAAUUAUAACUUGUAUGGUUGUAUAAUAUUAUACAGUUUGUAAAACUUUUUCUUACUGAUUUAUAAUUAUUCUUUUAAGAAGGUAUAAACAAAAUAGUGAAAACCCCUGGGUGUAAUGUAGGGUAAAGGAGGGAGGGUAUCUAUUUAUCCAUGAAUUAAUGUUAAUUUAUUUCAAGCACACAGGCCUAGAUUGACUGGGGGGGGGUUCAACAUCCCUGGGUCCAAUCUUUUGAAAUGUGUCUCCCAAUUUUUGGAGGGCCACUGAUUUGCCAGUUUUUACUGCUAUGUGUCUACCCUCCAUAAAUAAAGAAGUUGAUAUAAAUAAUAAUAAAAUGCCCAAAUGCUGGAUUUGCCAAACAUGUGAAUUUUUUGGGAAUGUUGUGCAAAAUUGUGGCCAAUUCUAUAAAGGUUACGCUGAAAAAAACCUUUUUUGCAAACAAUGGUUUGGGAAAAGAAACAAUUACCCCCUCGCCAAAAUUUUGCGAACAUGUGAAGGGGCCCAAAGUUCUGUAUUCACCCUCCCAAAGAUGUAUCGGUUGGCACGGCCCUGCAAGCACAAUACAAUUGUGUUUUGUGUUAGCCAGAAAAUAAAUAAAUCUCAC